rnacentral:rRNA from 1 species
AGACGGGGACCCGCACAAGCGUGGAUUGAUGUUGGAUUAAUUCGAUGCAACGCGAAGAACCUUUACCUACCCUUUGACAUGUCCGGAACUUGCCAGAGAUUGGCUUGGUGCCCGAAAGGGAAUCGGAACACAGGUGCUGCAUGGCUGUCGUCAGCUCGUGUCGUGAGAUGUUGGGUUAAGUCCCGCAACGAGCGCAACCCUUAUCAUUAGUUGCUACGCAAGGGCACUCUAAUGAGACUGCCGGUGACAAACCGGAGGAAGGUGGGGAUGACGUCAAGUCCUCAUGGCCCUUAUGGGUAGGGCUUCACACGUCAUACAAUGGUCGGUACAGAGGGUUGCCAAGCCGCGAGGCGGAGCCAAUCCCACAAAGCCGAUCGUAGUCCGGAUUGUUCUCUGCAACUCGAGAGCAUGAAGUCGGAAUCGCUAGUAAUCGCAGGUCAGCAUACUGCGGUGAAUACGUUCCCGGGUCUU